GACGAACGCUGGCGGCGUGCUUAACACAUGCAAGUCGAGCGGUAAGGCCCUUUCGGGGGUACGACGAGCGGCGAACGGGUGAGUAACACGUGGGUGACCUGCCCUCCAGCUCUGGGAGUAAGCCUGGGAAACCGGGUACUAAUACCGGAUAUGACUCCAUGACGCAUGUUGUGGGGUGGAAAGCCUUGUGCGGCUGAGGAUGGGCCCGCGGCCUAUCAGCUUGUUGGUGGGGUGAUGGCCUACCAAGGCGACGACGGGUAGCCGGCCUGAGAGGGCGACCGGCCACACUGGGACUGAGACACGGCCCAGACUCCUACGGGAGGCAGUAGUGGGGAAUCUUGCGCAAUGGGCGAAAGCCUGACGCAGCGACGCCGCGUGAGGGAUGACGGCCUGGUGUAACUCUU
rnacentral:rRNA from 1 species